GCUGUUUACGCAACGUGGGCCGCUUCCUUGGUAAGGGAGAGGCCGAGAGUUCAAAUCUCUCUAGCAGCA
rnacentral:tRNA from 1 species